rnacentral:rRNA from 1 species
GGUAUUGAAAUAAGAUUUUAAAUGAGUGCUAAGAGAAUGAUUAAACAAUUAAAAGCUUUCUUUAAUUAAAAAAUUAAAUUUAAUUUUUUUAGUGCAAAAGCAAAAAUAAAAUUUAGGGACAAGAAGACCCUAUGAAUUUUUAUUGUUAAUAAUUAAUAUUUAAGUUAUUAAUAAUUUAAUUGGGGCGAUAAAAAAAGAAUAAGUAUCUUUUUAGUUAUAAAAUAAGUUCCGUUUUUAGCGAUUAAAUGAAAUAAAUACUCUAGGGAUAACAGCGUAAUAAUUUUGGAUAGUUCAUAUAGAUAAAAUAGUUUGCGACCUCGAUGUUGGAUUAGGAUUCUUUUUUGGUGAAGAA